CUCCUACAGAGGGGUCGAACCCUCUUUCUAUCCCCCUUCUUCUGACGUCAUCUUAGUCCAACUUAGAGUUAUCUGGAAUGUCAAUUAAUUGUAUCAAUUAGGAAUCUUAAUUAAUCAAAGCUUGAUUAUUAAUUUCAAUUCAUUUGAUUAAUCUAAUUUUUAAUUUAACUUAUUUGUACGAUUUCGUUGUAGAUUGUGACAAAACUUCGAACCCGCGUUCAUAGAGUUGGAAGGCAAACGUAAUAACCACUAUACCGCACAGGA